ACUGCGCGUGUGUCGCGUAUGUGUCUCUCUCCCUUUUCGACGCUGCUACGGUUUGCCGCGUCUGGACCACGGCGCAACACCUUCCUCUGCUCUCCAGAACGGUGGGAUGGGCGCCUGCUGCUGUAAAAAUCCGACCUCCUCCGUGGCGAUGGUAGCGGGGGAGGGGGUCGAGUCUAUCCCUCAGGGAGGCGAGGGCAGUGGGGGUGCUCCCACAUCGAGCACCUUCUCUGGCCCUUCUGCGUGCCCCCUCACUCUACCCGGCCACUCGGAGGGCGAGACAGCCACGGUAGCUUCUAUGCCGUUAGCCUUGGACAGCGCAGACAAAAUCGGCGCUGAAGGGCACUUCGAGCGCGGUGAUGGAUCCGAUGAGCUCUCGAGUGACACAUGGCCAUCGUUGCACGCCCGAGUCUGGCGCCGACGCGGCGGCGUAUCAGGCGAGACUCCCUCGCGCGCUCUCACCGCUGCUAUGUGGCAGUGGCGACAGCCGCCUUGGGAGAGCCCGGAGGAGUGGCAGGUGCUCCGCCGAGUGCUUUGCGGCCAUCCGCUCUUUGCCGCCUGCCGCGACGAUGCGUCGAUGCUGCGGGAUGUCAUAGAGGUCUUUGAGAGGCAGGAGACGCAGCCGGGAGAGGUGAUUGCGUCGCCAGGGGACAGCUGCGCUUUCCAUGUCGUGGUGAAGGGCCAAGCUGUGGCUGACGUCGGCGAUGGCGAUGCAGUGAUUGCACAGGCGAAGAACAAGCGACAGGAGUGGGCUGUCGGGGACUACUUUGGGAGUGAGGGUCUGCUGUACGUCUUGAACCCAGACGAUGAGGGCGCAGCGGUGUGCGCCGCGGGCCACCCCGAUGCAUCUUCGCCCACUGCCACGUGGCGGCUGAAUCGCAUGCUCUAUCAGAUGCUGAUGCGCACCUUCUACGAUGACGCACACCUCCAGCUCAUGAAGUACUUUUUCCAGUCGCCGCUCUUUCAGCAUCUCUCUCGUGCACAGAUACGACACCUCUGCGAGAAGGCAGAGAUGGUGACAUGGGACACAUCGGCGCGUUUGUUGCAGAGGGGUGAGGUGCCGACCAGCCUCUUUCUUUUAAUUUCUGGCACCGUGGCCCUCAUGCAUGUCCAGCGGGGCGGCGGUGGCCACGCAGGCGUGCCACGCGUGCAGUCCAUCGUUCUUGGCGCAGGCGACUGCGUGGGCGAUGCCGAGCUUCUCCUCUUGCAUCGCGCAGCAGACGAGGAAGACGUCACCACUGCCUCGAAGAGGCUGAUAGCGAUGCAUUCGUUGUGCACGUACGCAGUGCAGAAGCCGGUACAGGCGAUCCGCAUCCCUAUUGAAGAUCUUCUUGCCGUGCUUUCAGGGCACGAUCUGCAGCACAUGCGGGAGCGCAGUCGCAGCGUGCGAGAGUUGGAACUGUGGCAGCGGCAGGCGCAGAUGCCGGGUGGCCUGCGCUCUCUCGUGGAUGAGUGUCUCGUGCUGAACAUCUCCAACCCCAACAGCGACAGUGACAGCGACAGCGACGAGGAUUCGCUGGUGUUGCAGGGAGGACCCAGCGUUGCUGCGUCUCCGCUGUCGAGGCGGCUCUCCGACGACGCGUCGCAGGAUGUAUUUGUGAAAGGUGCCGAUGCAACGGCCUUCUUCCUCGAGCAGAUGUUCUCCCGUCAGACGUAUCGUCGCGCGGACGGGCGAGAGCGCGGCCUUUCCAUGGCCACCUUCGCCCCGCGCCAGCGAUACCUAGUCGGGACGGUUCUGUUCCACGUCGAGUACGCUGCAAGUGGCAACGGUAUGAUGCGUGCGAGUGGAGGACUGCCGCCAAGUGAUGACGGGAAGGGUGCAGCGAGCACAGCAGGCUCUUCUGCAGCUGCAGGGUCUCGCAAGUCUCAUGGGUGUCUCUACGCCGUCUUCUCCGGCGAAGUAACCGUCGUGAACAGCGACACGGGCGAGGCCAUCUACAGCGUCUCCCGCGGCAACACGCUCGGUGAAGAGGCGCUUCUCGCUCCGCUUCGUUGCUGCUCUGCGACGAACCCUCUGCGCACGCACGCGGUUGUCUCCAGCUCCGAUGGGUGCGAGGUGUUUGAGCUCAGCUGGCGCGCGUUCAAGGAGUUCUUGCAGCGACCGUACUGUGAGGCCCUCCGCGACUUCUGCAGUGUGUUCUGCGUCUUUCCAUUCGCAUGGUGCUUUCCUCAACACUACUGGCAUUUUUUGUUCAACUGCACGACGGAGCGCGAGGCAGUCGGCGGCGACCUCAUCGGCGUUCGCGGGGCAGACUGCAAGUGCGUGUCGCUCAUCCUCGAUGGCCGACUCGACGCUUAUGCCAGAAGCAGUGCAGCGGACAGUGGAGGGAAAGAACAAGACCACGAUGAGGAGACGUCGGUGGCGUCGUUUGCGGCAGGCGACAUCGUCGGCGGGUGGGAGGUGAUGGAGGGACGCCCCUGCAAUGUGGCGUACGUGUGUGUGUGCCGCACUCGUAUGCUGUGCGUUCCUGCCGAGUCCUUUGCCGGCCUCUUCCGUCCAGCGAUGCCGUAUCUGCGGCUCAUGUGGUCCGAACGGCGAUAUAAAAGGGUCAUGGUGGUGUCAGCGACGGAAGGCUGACCUACCACGGCGCUUUUGAACAUGUGUGUAUCUGCGUGCGCAUCACUGCUGUCGCUGCUCCCUUGGCAUGGCCACGCCGUCCGCGCAAGAGCGCUGCGGCGACGCGUCGCACCAUGCGCCUCCCUCUCGCUUUCGUGCGAGCGAGCCUCUGCUGCCCUUUGCCUUUAUCUGUAUGCGUUUUCGAAUCUAUGGAAUGCUCGGUAGUCGCACAUCAGCUGCUGCUCCCUCUCACCUGACUCUGCUGGACCAAAUCCAUGUGCGUGCCUGCGAAUGUUUGCGCUCAGCAGCGAGGUCGCCAUCUUGUGCCUUGUGACACCUUGUCCGCUGGCACACGUUUCGCGCGAGCAGGCACGCGUAUACCCAAUAUGUAAUUCUACCCAGCUGCUCAGUCUGUUCUUAUGU
rnacentral:misc_RNA from 1 species